rnacentral:rRNA from 1 species
AUGUCCUGCUCCAUCACCUGCAUCCACCAGUGGAGUCACCACACCAGAUGUGUAGUUCUAGUCUGUCUUGUCUGUGUCGGGUUGGCCGAGGAGUCUGAGUUGCUUCGCACUGAGCUUCGUGAUUGCCUUGCGCAAGUUGGGAGUGUAUUGGAGAGAGCGGAGGCCGCACUCGCCAAACUAGAGGUUGUGCCAGUUAUGUCUUUGAUGCCUUCAAUGCCUGAGCCGAUUGAGUCUUCAGUUGGGGAGGAAGCAAGCCUGUAUGGACACCUCUCCCCUCGUGCUACAUCACGUCUGUCGUCGAGGCAUGUGUUGCAGACUGCCUCUAGGAGUGCAUUCAUCGGCGAGGUCGUGACUCCAGUGCUGCAGAUUAUGCCUGAGCUGCGGGAGCGUUGUGGCGAGCCGACCUCACCUCUUUCAAUGGUGCUUCCAAAGGAGAUGGGGCAGGUGAUGUCUAUGGGUGACGAGGUUGAUGAGGUAGGUGCUUUGGCACCUAAUUUCGAGGCGCGACUACAGGGUUCGCCUUUGCCAUGUGGGUAA